rnacentral:lncRNA from 1 species
CAAUCUUAGCUCUGCUUGCAAAGGCCUCAAGCUUGCCUGUCACCCUGUCAUCAAACCUCACCCCAAACGCAAGCAACAAAUCACUCUUAUCCACCGAGUAGUUAGCAUAAACAGUUCCAUGCAUUCCAAGCAUUUGUAAUGACAAUUCGUGGCCAACUGGGAAUGCUCCGAGCCCCAUCAAAGUACUAGCCACUGGGAUCCCAGUUAACUCGACAAACUUUCUCAACUCCUCACUUGAAUUUAAACACCCACCUCCCACGUAUAAAACCGGUUUCUUUGACUCAAAAAUUAGCCUCACAAUCUGCUCCAAAUGUGAUUCGUUGGGCACUUUAGGCAACCUCGACAUGUAACCAGGCAAUUUAAUAGGUGUAUUCCAAUUUGGAACAGCUAAUUGUUGUUGUAUAUCUUUUGGUACAUCAAUCAGAACUGGGCCAGGACGUCCCGAGGUGGCCAAAAAGAAAGCUUCACUUACAAUUCUAGGAAUAUCAUCAACAUCAAGGACCAGGUAAUU